CCUGAUUAGUCACCUGGUGACGUGUUCUGGGGUCUGGAGGUCUGUUCUCCCUCUGUUUUCCUGGAUGGUCACCUGGUGAGGUGUUCUGGGGUCUGGGUCUGUUUUCCUCUGUUUUCCUGAUUAGUCACCUGGUGACGUUUUCUGGGGUCUGGAGGUCUGUUUUCCUGGAUGGUCACCUGGUGAGGUGUUCUGGGGUCUGGAGGUCUGUUUUCCUGGCUAGUCACCUGGUGAGGUGUUCUGGGGUCUGGAUGUCUGUUUUCCUCUGUUUUCCUGACUAGUCACCUGGUGAGGUGUUCUGGGGUCUGGAGGUCUGUUUUCCUCUGUUUUCCUGAUUAGUCACCUGGUGACGUGUUCUGGGGUCUCGAGGUCUGUUUUCCUGGAUGGUCACCUGGUGAGGUGUUCUGGGGUCUGG